rnacentral:rRNA from 1 species
GAUGAACGCUGGCGGCGUGCCUAAUACAUGCAAGUCGAGCGAACAGACGAGGAGCUUGCUCCUCUGACGUUAGCGGCGGACGGGUGAGUAACACGUGGAUAACCUACCUAUAAGACUGGGAUAACUUCGGGAAACCGGAGCUAAUACCGGAUAAUAUAUUGAACCGCAUGGUUCGAUAGUGAAAGACGGUUUUGCUGUCACUUAUAGAUGGAUCCGCGCCGCAUUAGCUAGUUGGUAGGGUAACGGCUUACCAAGGCGACGAUGCGUAGCCGACCUGAGAGGGUGAUCGGCCACACUGGAACUGAGACACGGUCCAGACUCCUACGGGAGGCAGCAGUAGGGAAUCUUCCGCAAUGGGCGAAAGCCUGACGGAGCAACGCCGCGUGAGUGAUGAAGGUCUUCGGAUCGUAAAACUCUGUUAUUAGGGAAGAACAAAUGUGUAAGUAACUAUGCACGUCUUGACGGUACCUAAUCAGAAAGCCACGGCUAACUACGUG